GACGAACGCUGGCGGCGUGCUUAACACAUGCAAGUCGAGCGGUAAGGCCCUUUCGGGGGUACGACGAGCGGCGAACGGGUGAGUAACACGUGGGUGACCUGCCCUCAGCUCUGGGAUAAGCCUGGGAAACUGGGUCUAAUACUGGAUAUGACUCCACGGUGCAUGUCGUGGGGUGGAAANCCUUGUGCGGCUGAGGAUGGGCCCGC
rnacentral:rRNA from 1 species